rnacentral:lncRNA from 1 species
AUUUCAUCCAGUUGUCUCUGCUUUGUAUUUCUCUUCUUACUCCACCAGAAGUCCGAGUCUUUCCUCUCUGUGCAGAGCAGCACUUUGGGAACAAAGUGAUACAACCCUGAGCCAGAAAUGCCCCUCUCUUUCUUCCAAGUGGGUGUGCAAAAAGACAUCAGCACUGUCCAGUUUUUAGAUCUCUGUCUUAUUUAUGUGUUAUAAUAUUAAAAUACGGCAGGAUAACCUUUUUCCAUAGAUAAACAUAGCUUUUGGACACCAAAUGAAGCACAAGGUUUGGAAACCUGCCUCCUUUCUCCUUGUAGGAUACCUCCUUCCCUCAAUCCUGGCUUUUCCAUCCUGUGGUUUUCAGUGGCUUCUUGGGCUGAGAAAGUCCAUGAAACUUAUGCUGGUCCUUGAAGAAACCUGCUGCUCCCUGGGUUCCCACAGCUCAGGGGCAAUGUGAAAGAAGUAAAGGAGGAAAUUCAAGUGCAAGAAGCAGAAGAAGGAUGAAACAGGAGAGGGUUUUCUUUUCAGAAAAAUGAAAAUGGAAAAAAUCUAACAAAUCUUUUUAUGGGAAGCUGAGUAAGUAAACAUUGUUU